AUGCACGCUGGCGGCGUGCUUCACCCAUGCAAGUCGCACGGUGAAGGCGGAGCUUGCUCUGCUGGAUCAGUGGCGAACGGGUGAGUAACACGUGAGCAAUCUGCCCCUGACUCUGGGAUAAGCGCUGGAAACGGCGUCUAAUACUGGAUACGAGCUGCGAAGGCAUCUUCAGCAGCUGGAAAGAAUUUCGGUCAGGGAUGAGCUCGCGGCCUAUCAGCUUGUUGGUGAGGUAAUGGCUCACCAAGGCGUCGACGGGUAGCCGGCCUGAGAGGGUGACCGGCCACACUGGGACUGAGACACGGCCCAGACUCCUACGGGAGGCAGCAGUGGGGAAUAUUGCACAAUGGGCGAAAGCCUGAUGCAGCAACGCCGCGUGAGGGACGACGGCCUUCGGGUUGUAAACCUCUUUUAGCAGGGAAGAAGCGAAAGUGACGGUACCUGCAGAAAAAGCGCCGGCUAACUACGUG
rnacentral:rRNA from 1 species